GUCGGGAUAACAUAGGGGCUAUGUGGCGGACUGCAGAUCCGCAUAGGGGGGUUCGAUUCCCUCUCCCGACUCCA
rnacentral:tRNA from 1 species